AGUGAACGCUGGCGGUAGGCCUAACACAUGCAAGUCGAACGGCAGCACAGUAAGAGCUUGCUCUUACGGGUGGCGAGUGGCGGACGGGUGAGGAAUACAUCGGAAUCUACUUUUUCGUGGGGGAUAACGUAGGGAAACUUACGCUAAUACCGCAUACGACCUACGGGUGAAAGCAGGGGAUCUUCGGACCUUGCGCGAUUGAAUGAGCCGAUGUCGGAUUAGCUAGUUGGCGGGGUGAAGGCCCACCAAGACGACGAUCCGUAGCUGGUCUGAGAGGAUGAUCAGCCACACUGGAACUGGUACACGAUCCAGACCACUGCGGGACGCAGAAGACGGGAAUGGUGACGAAUGGGCGCAAGUCUUAACCAACCGUUGCGAGAAAAUGAAGAAGGUCUCCUGAUUGUAAAACACUCUCAGUCGGGAAGAAGGGGAGUAACCUAAUACCUUGCCGUUGUGACGUUACCAAGAGAAUAAGCUCCCGCUCCCCUCGUG
rnacentral:rRNA from 1 species